rnacentral:rRNA from 1 species
UACGGAGGGUGCAAACGUUGCUCGGAAUCAUUGGGCGUAAAGCGCACGUAGGCGGUCUGUUAAGUCGGAUGUGAAAGCCCCGGGCUCAACCCGGGAAGUGCAUACGAAACUGGCGGACUUGAAUAUGGAAGAGGGUCGCGGAAUUCCCGGUGUAGAGGUGAAAUUCGUAGAUAUCGGGAGGAACACCAGUGGCGAGGGCGGCGACCUGGGCCAAUAUUGACGCUAAUGUGCGAAAGCGUGGGGAGCAAACAGG